UAUUUUUCCAAUCCUCUUUUCUUCUCAAAAAAAGAGGUGUCCAAGUCACACAGAGCCAUAGAAUCUCACAAGUGUCUCAGAAUUCCUUCUCCAGGGACUCUCAGAGGAUCCAGAACUGCAGCCCGUCCUCGCUGGGCUGUCCCUGUCCAUGUACCUGGUCACGGUGCUGAGGAACCUGCUCAUCAUCCUGGCUGUCAGCUCUGACUCCCACCUCCACACCCCCAUGUACUUCUUCCUCUCCAACCUCUCCUGGGCUGACAUUGGUUUCACCUCGGCCAUGGUUCCCAAGAUGAUUGUGGACAUGCAGUCGCAUAGCAGAGUCAUCUCUUAAGCGGGCUGCCUGACACAGAUGUCUUUCUUUGUCCUUUUUGCAUGUAUAGAAGACAUGCUCCUGACUGUGAUGGCCUAUGACCAAUUUGUGGCCAUCUGUCACCCCUGCACUACCCAGUCAUCAUGAAUCCUCACCUCUGUGUCUUCUUAGUUUUGGUUUCUUUUUUCCUUAGCCUGUUGGAUUCCCAGCUGCACAGUUGGAUUGUGUUACAAUUCACCUUCUUCAAGAAUGUGGAAAUCUCUAAUUUUUUCUGUGAUCCAUCUCAACUUCUCAACCUUGCCUGUUCUGACGGCAUCAUCAAUAGCAUAUUUAUAUAUUUAGAUAGUAUUCUGUUCAGUUUUCUUCCCAUUUCAGGGAUCCUUUUGUCUUACUAUAAAAUUGUCCCCUCCAUUCUAAGAAUUUCAUCGUCAGAUGGGAAGUAUAAAGCCUUCUCCAUCUGUGGCUCUCACCUGGCAGUUGUUUGCUUAUUUUAUGGAACAGGCAUUGGCGUGUACCUAACUUCAGCUGUGUCACCACCCCCAGGAAUGGUGUGGUGGCGUCAGUGAUGUAUGCUGUGGGCACCCCCAUGCUGAACUCUUUUAUCUACAGCCUGAGAAACAGGGACAUUCAAAGCGCCCUGUGGAGGCUGCGCAGCAGAACAGUCGAAUCUCAUGAUCUGUUCCAUCCUUAUUCUUGUGUGGGUAA
rnacentral:lncRNA from 1 species